rnacentral:rRNA from 1 species
GUCUACGGCCAUGCCACCCUGAACAAUGUCUGAUCUCGAAAGCUAAGCAGGGUCAGGCCUGGUUAGUACUUGGAUGAGAGACCACCUAGGAAGACCAGGUGCUGUAGACA